UCGAGUAUCUGGGUUCCGUUCUUCGGGCCCUUACUCCCACACCAUGUGUACCCUUACCUUACUGUUGCUUUGGCGAGCCUGCCGCCCCUUUUGCGGGGGGAGAGGCGCCGGUUUCCGGAGAGCUGCUCGCCAGAGAACCAACCAAAAACUCUUGUUUUGAACCGAUCAAGUCUGAGAAACAAUUCUUUGAAUUAAAUCA
rnacentral:misc_RNA from 1 species